UAAGGGAUAUUGCCCAAUGGACGGAAGUCUGAGGCAGCAACGCCGCGUGCGGGAGGACGGCCUUCGGGUUGUAAACCGCUUUUGGAGGGGAAGAGGGAGGACGGUACCCUUCGAAGAAGUCUCGGCUAACUACGUGCCAGCAGCCGCGGUAAAACGUAGGAGGCGAGCGUUAUCCGGAUUUACUGGGUGUAAAGCGCGUGCAGGCGGCGGCGCAAGUCGUGUGUGAAAGCUCCCGGCUCAACCGGGAGAGGACGGACGAGACUGAGCUGCUAGAGGCAGGUAGAGGUGUGUGGAAUUCCGGGUGUAGUGGUGAAAUGCGUAGAGAUCCGGAGGAACACCAGUGGCGAAGGCGGCACACUGGGCCUGGCCUGACGCUCAGACGCGAAAGCAUGGGGAGCGAAC
rnacentral:rRNA from 1 species